GCACAGCUGAGGAGUCCCAUAAUAGGACGAAACGGCUGUCCAGUAC
rnacentral:hammerhead_ribozyme from 1 species